ensembl:lncRNA
GGGAAGGAUGCCACCUGUGUGAGGUGCAAGCAGGUAGAUGAGCUGCUCAGCCUGGUGGUAGAGCUCAGGGAGGAGGUGGAGAGAUUAAGAACUAUCAGAGAGUGUGAGCGGGAGAUUGACUGGUGGAGUGACUCUCUGAGAGAAAGAUGCAGAGAUUGCACUCCCCAAACCGUAGUGGACCCUCUCCCUUGCUGCAGUCGGGCACAGAGAGCCAAUUUGAGAGGAGAGGAGGAAUGGCAGCAGGUCCCAGCUUGGAAACGCAGGCGACCCCCACCCCGACCUACCACGGUUCCUCAGGUGUCUCUACAUAAUAGGUUUGAUGCCCUGAAACCGGAGGGAGAGGUGAAUGAGGUUGAGGUGGGAAGACUGCCUCCAAGUGUGUCUAAGGUGAGGAGGUCAGCUCCACGCUUAAAGACUUCCUCCUCCAAAAAAGAAAGGAGGGUGAUAGUUGUAGGUGACUCCCUCCUGAGUGGAACAGAGGGCCCGAUAUGUCGGCCUGACCCUACCCGCAGGGAGGUGUGCUGCCUCCCUGGGGCCCGGGUCAGGGAUAUUUCCAGGAAACUUCCUGGUCUGAUUCACCCCUCUGAUUACUAUCCGUUAUUGAUAGUUCAGGCUGGCAGCGAUGAGAUUGCUGGCAGAAGCCUGAGGGCUAUAAAAAAUGAUUUUAGGGGGCUGGGGAGGAUAGUUGACAAUGCAGGCAUACAAGUAGUAAUUGCAGGUAUUCCUACAGUGGCAGGGAAAGACAAUGCAAUAAACCAGGAAAACCCAUUGCAUAAACACAUGGCUGAGAGGCUGGUGCAAGCGCAAGAAUCUCGGGUUCUUUGAUCAUGGGGCGGUCUACUCGGCACCUAGCCUGAGGUCUGCAGAUGGGUAUCACCUGUCUCAAAGGGGGAAACGGAUCCUUGCCCAGGAGCUGGCAGGACUAGUAGAGAGGGCUUUAAACUAGAUAUGAAGGGGGAAGGGGAUAAAACCAGGCCUGCUGGAGAUGAACCUGGGGGAGUGGUAAUGGGAUUAGAGGUGAGGGGCUCAGCUGAAGUGCAUCAACACCAAUACACGCAGCAUGCACAAAAAACAAGAAGAGUUGGAAGGCAACAGAUUGUAAGGCAAGCAAGCUAUGACCUAGUUGCCAUUUAUAGAAACAUGGUGGGAUGACUCCUAUGAAUGGAGUGCUGCAAUGGAUGGCUACAAACUCUUCAGGAAGGAUAGGCUAGGAAGGAGGGGUGGCGGCGUGGCUCUCAAUGUUACAGAGCUUGUGGCUGGGAAUGAUAAAGUUGAAUCCCUAUGGGUAAAGACCAGGGGAAGGGCUGACAAGGCAGACAUCCUGGUGGGCAUCUGUUAUAGACCACCAAACCAGGGUGAAGAGACAGAUGAGGAGAUUGCCAGACCUUGUCCUCAUGGGGGACAUCAACUUCCCCGACAUAUGCUGGGAAUACAAUUUAGCACAGAAGAAGCAGUCUAGGAGGUUUCUGGAAUGUAUGGAGGACAACUUCUUGAUGCAGCUGGUAAGAGAACCUACGAGAGGAGCUGCCCCGUUAGACCUGCUGUUCACAAACAGAGAAGGUCUGGUGGGAGAUGUAGAGGUUGGGGGCUGUCUUGGGCAGAGUGACCACGACAUGGUAGAGUUCUCGAUUCUUGGUGGAGGCAGGAAGGGGAACAGCAAAACUGCUACCUUGGUCUUCCGGAGGGCAGACUUUGAAUUGUUCAGAAGACUAGCAGGGGGAGUCCCCUGGAAUUCAGUCUUAGAGAGUAAAGGGGUCUGAGACGGCUGGUUGCUCUUCAAGAAGGAAGUCUUAAAGGCGCAGGAGCAGGCUGUCCCCCUGAGCUGCAAAAUGAGCCAGCAAGGAAGAAGACUGGCAUGGAUGAAUAGGGACAGCCUGCUCCUGUCCCUAUUCUUGAGGCUCCAGGAGAAAAAGAGAGUCCUCCUGUGGAAGAAGGAAUGGGCAACUCAGAAAGAAUACAAAGACGUUGUUAAGAUGUGCAGAGAGAAAAUCAGAAAGGCAAAAGCCCAG